GGGGAGUCGAGGGACACAGCGUUUGUUUAGUCUAGGGGAUUCGAGGGACACAGCUUCUGUUUAGUCUAGGGGAGUCGAGGGACACAGCGUUCUGUUAGUCUAGGGGAGUCGAGGGACACAGCUUUCUGUUUAGUAGGGGAGUCGAGGGACACAGCUUUCUGUUUAGUCUAGGGAGUCGAGGGACACAGCGUUUCUGUUUAGUCUAGGGGAGAGCGAGUGGAACACAGCUUCUGUUUAUCUAGGGGGUCGAGGGACACAGCUUUCUGUUUAGUCUAGGGGAGUCGAGGGACACAGCGUUCGUUUAGUCUAGGGGAGUCGAGGGGAACACAGCGUUUUGUUUAGUCUAGGGGAGUCGAGGGACAAGCGUUCUGUUUAGUCUAGGGGAGUCGAGGGAACCUUUCGUGUUUUAGUCUAGGGGAGUCGAGGGACACAGCUUUCUGUUUAGUCUAGGGGAGUCGAGGGACACGCGUUCGUUUAGUCUUAGGGGAGUCGAGGACACAGCGUUCUGUUUAGUUAGGGGAGUCGAGGACACGUUCUGUUUAGUCUAGGGGAGUCGAGGGACACAGCUUCUGUUUAGUCUAGGGUAGUGGGGACACAGCGUUCUUUAGUUAGGGGAGUUGAGGGACACUGCUUUCUGUUAGUCUAGGGGAGUUGGGGACACAGCUUUCUGUUUAGUCUAGGGGAGUCGAGGGACCAGCGUUCCUGUUUAGUCUAGGGAGUCGAGGACACAGCGUUCUGUUUAGUCUAGGGGAGUCGAGGGACACAGCGUUCUGUUUAGUCUAGGGGAGUCGAGGGACACAGCGUUCUGUUUAGUCUAGGGGAGUCGAGGGACACCUUUCUGUUUAGUCUAGGGGAGUCGAGGGACACAGCUUUCUGUUUAAGUCUAGGGGUCGAGGGACACAGCGUUUCUGGUUAGUUAGGGGGUCGAGGCAACAGCGUUCUGUUUAGUCUAGGGGAGGUAGUUGA
rnacentral:lncRNA from 1 species